rnacentral:lncRNA from 10 species
AAAAGACACCAUUAAGAGUAAAAAGAUGACUCACAAAAAAGUUGCCUUUUGUUCAGUAAACGACUCAGGACCAGAAAAUAUGAAGACCCCUACAACAAGAAAAAUAUAGAUAGCUCAGUUAAAAAUUGACAAAAGACUUGAAAAGAUAUUUCACAAAAGGAGAGAUCCAGACAGUCAAUCCACACACGAAAGGGUACUUAGCAUCAGGGAACUGCAAAUAGUGACAUUCGAUUCCAUAUCACAGCCACUGGAUGGCUAAAAUAGCAACGCCAAGUGCUGAUGAGACUGUGGAACAACCAGCUGGGCUCUCAUACCCUGCUGAUGGGAGAGUGGAUUGGAGCAACCACGUGGAAACAUCUAAUGGAGGAAAAAGAAAAGAAAAGUAUGCCAAACUUUACCCUUCACCUUUCUUCUCAAAAUGGUCAGGUUUCAGAGCUGUGGUAGAAACUUCUAGUACUGACAACAGCCAGUACCUCCCCGCUUGGCAGCUGAGACUAUGGGACCAGUUCUGGCCA